rnacentral:rRNA from 1 species
AUUAGAUACCCUGGUAGUCCACGCGGUAAACGAUGUCGACUCGGAGGUUGCCCCCAUGAGGCGUGGCUUCCGGAGCUAACGCGUUAAGUCGACCGCCUGGGGAGUACGGCCGCAAGGUUAAAACUCAAAUGAAUUGACGGGGGCCCGCACAAGCGGUGGAGCAUGUGGUUUAAUUCGAUGCAACGCGAAGAACCUUACCUAGUCUUGACAUCCAGAGAACUUUCCAGAGAUGGAUUGGUGCCUUCGGGAACUUUGAGACAGGUGCUGCAUGGCUGUCGUCAGCUCGUGUUGUGAAAUGUUGGGUUAAGUCCCGCAACGAGCGCAACCCUUAUCCUUUGUUGCCAGCGGUUCGGCCGGGAACUCAAAGGAGACUGCCAGUGAUAAACUGGAGGAAGGUGGGGAUGACGUCAAGUCAUCAUGGCCCUUACGAGCAGGGCUACACACGUGCUACAAUGGCGCAUACAAAGAGAAGCGACCUCGCGAGAGCAAGCGGACCUCAUAAAGUGCGUCGUAGUCCGGAUUGGAGUCUGCAACUCGACUCCAUGAAGUCGGAAUCGCUAGUAAUCGUAGAUCAGAAUGCUACGGUGAAUACGUUCCCGGGCCUUGUACACACCGCCCGUCACACCAUGGGAGUGGGUUGCAAAAGAAGUAGGUAGCUUAACCUUCGGGAGGGCGCUUAC